AAUAAAAGAUUGACCAAAGGGGAAAAACAAUUUAUUCCCAAAGAUUUAUGCUUCAUCUGUCGGUCGUGGGUAUUUGUUACCGAUAUGGGUACAACGUCUGACUCUCUCUGUAAUGGUUCAUUAAUCCACUCAAAAAAUUUUCUUAUUGUGCCAGAAACAGGUACGCCCCGUAAGCCUACUAAGAACUAAAGGCAGGCGGAGUCAUUUUCAUCAAAAGCCCACUUUUACCUGAAGGAAGUUUGGCAACACCAGUCUAGUGUGGUCUCCUGAAGGAAAAUGGAAGGGUUGGUGACUUACCAUGACAAGGCAAGCCACUGUGAUUGAGAAGAAAAACUUCUAACCAAGAAAUGGGUGAACUGAAUUGGAGUUUGAAAUCUGCUACUUCUGAACUCUGUAUCUGAAGUUACUUCUCGAGAUCUAAGAGCAUCCGUAUCAUCUGCAAAUGGAUCAUUAUGAUGGAAGGUGUUAAAGUACAAUUGAACAGUCUUCUGGAGAAAAAACAAAUAUUUGGAAGAUAAAGGAAGAAAAGAUAAAUGAGCGGAAAUGUGGGCAGGUCCUGUGGUUCAGUCAAGGAACUGAAACCAAAAAUAACUCGGAGACCCAGGAUAAGCCAAACUGAAUUUGGGGACUUGAAUCCUCAGUCCCACCAGGAGAGGGAUGAACAUAUUUGUACACUGAGGGGAACCGCCAACGGAGCAUCGGAGCAGAGCAGUGCUCAAGGAAUGUUUACAGCUAAGGAGGCUCCAUGGAGGAUUGCUUGAAGGACAUGAAGUCCAUCUGUCUCCCUAGAUAGUUUAGAUUAUAUCUCAAGGUCAAGAAAGAUCAGACAUACACCCCGAUUCUGUUUCUGUGGCUCUCCAGUCCCCACCACAAGGAGAGAGAGAGAGUUUCCUUGGGGACUCAGAAGUGACUUCUAUACUCUGGGAGGCUCUUGGAUAAACGUUAAAAAAACUUCUUUAAGAAAAGAAGUGAAGACAUCUUGCCCAAAGGAUGAGAAGGCAAAUCAGCCCUGCUCCCAGGUCCUGGCCACGGUUUGGCUGUGCUGUGAUGCAACCACGAAGCACGUCCCACGGAAACAGGCCUACCACCUGGUCUCGUGCUCUGCACACAGUGAGGGCUCAGUAAAUGCUGUUCACCUACACAUAAGACCCAUAGUCUUAGAUCAGCUCUAAAAGUAAUGUUUGUUUGUUUUUUGACAAAAAGACUGUCUCCAUGUUUGUGUGGGUAGAUACAGCCGUAGAGACAGAUGAGGCAUCACAAGUGGUUCCUGGGAAUUUAUCAAACCAUAUUUAUUCACGGUAGCAUCCCUAAAUUUCCCCAUCGUCAAUAUAAAUACCUCUGACAAAUCUAUCUUCACUUACCGCUGCCCUUAAAUAUUUGAGGCAAAAUGCCGGCAGGCUGUUUCCCUCCUUUCUGGCCCAUCUCCUUAUCUCUGAGAUGCGACAGCCACCGCUACCCCUAAAACACGACAUAUUUCUAUCCUUUCUCCCUUCCUUCCCCCUUCCUUUGAUCCCUCCUUUUCUUUCUUCGGUGUCUGCGCUGUGCCAGGCAUGUUGAACUCCAGCAGGCUCCAUCCCAACCACGCUAAAAACAAUGAACUCUUAAUAUAGGUACUGUUAGAAACAGCAAAAAGAACCGUGUAGAACGGAAAGACAUGAGAGCCGAUAAUAUUUUUUAUUGGAGAACAUUUCUCAGGAGAAUAUAUGAGUGCUGCUGCCACUCAUAUCACUCACUUGUACCCUCCCUUAUGCCCAGCAGUUGACAAGUCCUCUUACAUGUGUAUCUCAUACGUUCCUCUAAAUUGUUGUUUCUCAAAGUGUGGUGCCUGACCAACAGCAGCAGCAGCUCCUGGAGAUUUCUGGAAAUGCAGAAGCCCAGGCUCCACCCCAAAACCUCCUGAAACAGACUACAUUUUAAUAACAUCCUCUAGAGCGUGAUGGUUUGAGGACCUGUACUCUCAAUAGUCCUGUGAGGGAAUUGGAAUUUCUCUUGCCUAUUUGACAGAGAAGGAAGAAGCAAAACUGGUGUGUGUUGGGGGGAGGGGCGGUGGCACUUCGGUGGCUCAGUUUGUUGAGCAUCCGACUCUUGA